AUGCCAAAAUCCACCCCAGGAUCCCUCCAAGCAGCCUCACAGCCAGCAGCACUUCUGCAGCUCCUCAAGCACAUCCCAAGAUUAAGCUGUGUUUCCAAAAGCUGGACCAGGAGCUCAGCUGGAAGCAGCAGCGCUCUUGCAAGGUAUGGCUGUUUAUUUUUUCAUUACCAGCUCCGUAAUGUUGCGUUCCCUCCUCCCACUCCCACUCCCUUCCCCUCUCACACAUCUGUGCAUCUUUCCUUGUUAAAAACAGCCAGUGCUCCCUAUUGGGAUAUUCCAGCUCCCCCCCUCUGCCGCUUCACACAUCCCCUGCUCAAACAGCCACAGCCUGACAGCCCUGGGUGCUGCCUGUGCACCUCAUUCCUGAAGAGAGCAGCCCUGCUGCACCAGCUGCUCACCAGCAUCUGCCUCAUUUCCUAUUUAAAUAGCCCAGCACACACAGAACUUUUCUUCCCCCCGAUGGGAAGGAGUGCUAAUUGCUCAGCCGUGCCAUGCACACACGGCCACCAUGUUGCUAUGAUCUCAAAGAUGGGUAACGUCAGCAUCCCGGGGACCCUCCUCCAGCUGGGAUCGGCGAGCCAAGGCUGAGCUACACGGAGCAGCGGUGCCGGAGGAGCAGCAGAGCUGCACACCAGGUAAGGGACACCGCAGCCCUCUGUCCCCAUGCUGUUCCUGCUCACCGUAUGGCUGAGCGACAAACUGCAAGCAGAGCAAGGCAAUUCUCAGCACAGCCCGGGGACCAGCUGCCAAAUCUUUGAUCUGCACAGGGGGUCGGGGUUUUUUGUUCCCUUCCUUGCAGAGGAAUUUCUGGGAGCGUGGGUCAGGCGGUAGCAGCCAGAAAGCUGUAAGCAGAUAGGGAGAUUCUUUCCUUGACUUUAAAGUGGAUCUGCUUUCAUGGUGCUCCCCCCUUUUUUUUUGGCUGGCUAAUCCUCAACUUGGGAUUCGUCGGUUUGUCUGUCUGUGCCAACUUUUGCAUGCUGCCACAAGUGGAUGCUCUUCGUAGUGAGUGAGAUCAUAACCCACCUCGGUUAAGAAAUAAACUUACUUUAAAUGUGAGUUAAGCCUCUUUAACUUAGUUUUGGAAAUACUCCUUUAACUUUCUUUUUCCCCCUUCUUUCUUCUGCUAGGGCACCCUGAGAGGAGAAUAGCUGUGUCACAAAUGUUAUCGUCCAUGCAAUCUCAGCUGCUGAAAUGAGCUUGAAGUCCCCAGUCUAAAGAGAGGCACUAAUUAAACACAGCAAUGCUCCUGCUCUGAUAUGGAAAAGCAAGCACUGUGCAAGUGAAACAGCCAUCCCUCACAUCCUCCAGGAGAGGAGGAAAGCCGCCCAGGCACAAAGCUUCCCCUGCCCUCCUUGUUGCUGCCAGCCCUGAGGACUGCAAACAGCUGAACUGCACCUCUCCAGCAGAGAAAAGGAUGCUCUGAGAGCUGUUCCACUUGCACAGGAGGAUACAAUUCUCAUUUGCUUUCUUCAUGAAGCCUUGGACGCCAGAGG
rnacentral:lncRNA from 1 species